UUUAGCUACACGACUCAGAGUAUGAAGAAUUAGUGAAAGCUACACUGGAAACUGCUACAAAGAGCGGCCAGAUUCGUUAUAAAAUGGAGCACAAAGCUGACGUUUGGAACUUGUCUUGGCUUUACAUCUAUGUUUUGUUCAUAUUCGCCGACGAGAUCACUGACCGGUGGUACCUCUAUUUUGAAAAUGUGCGAAUUUUGAUGUUUUUAUUGUAUUUUUCUUUAUGAUCUACGGAAGAGAGAAAUGCUGAUUUUGCUACAAUUGAUGGAACAAUAAGCCGAUAUCUGCUACCUACUGGGGUAUGAAAGUAUGAGGGAUUUCCCAGCCCUGCAGACAAGGAGCUGAAGGAAGAAGUUGAUGCACUGCACGCGAACGAAGAGAAGUUGAGGAGAGCGAUGCUGGACAAGGGCAUCGAGUGGAUGUUCAACGUUCCUGCCGCUUCCCACCACGGCGGUGUGUGGGAGCGUCUCAUCAGAGGCGUCCGGAAGAUCCUGAAUGGUCUGUUAACCAGCCAAACAUUCACAGAAGAGACGUUGCACACACUCUUGUGCGAAACCGAGUGCAUCAUGAACAAUCGGCCGCUGGUGCCGGUUUCGUCGGACCCUCGUGACGAGGUGCCUCUGACUCCGAAUCACAUCCUGCAUUUGAAGUGUGUGACACCGGUAUGUGAUUCUUCAAGUGAAGAUGACCUGGAUGGACCCAAGAGAUGGCGACAAGCUGCUUACCUAGCUGAGCAGUUUUGGCGUUCGUGGAGACGGCUAUACUUGCCUCUCCUGCAGCAGCGAUCUCGCGCUGCCACGAGAAGUCGGACGAACCUGCGGAUCGGUGACGUCGUCGUCAUGGUAGACGAAUCGGUACCACGCGGUGUGUGGCCGCUGGGUCUCGUGAAGGAGACCCUGAUGGGUAAGGACGGGCGUGUGCGCUCUGUGAAGGUCCGCGCUCGAGGAACCACGUUCCUGAGACCUGUCACGAAGGUAGUGAAGAUUCUGGGCGCAGAAGAGCAGUCUUGGUGAAGCGAUGGAGCUGCAGCUACACUGUAUAACACAGCAUGAGUCUAGCAGCACACCGCUAAGUCAUUAACACCGGACACUUAAGAUCAUGACACGCCACACAGGCUCAUGACACAAUCACAAUGAUAGACAUCAGGAACGGUGCAUGUAUAAUGUAUAUAGGAUGCGUUCUACUUCCGUGUGUUGAUGCUGAUCUCAGCGACGCUUGUUUCGGUAGGCUGUGCAGUGUGCCUAUGUGUUGUUAUAUGUAUAGUUAAGAAGUUGGUUUUGAACCUGGAUGGUUCAAAGGGGGCGGGUGUUAGCGCCGCACGGCCCCCAGCGGCGGUGCCGUUGCGACGCCGCUCAGCGGCGGUGCCCUCCGCCUAUGGUUACUGAGCUAUGUUGCUAUGGUUACCGGAUUGUUUGUUUUGUUUACUUUCUUUCGGCUCGAUUUUGACAAUGUCUGGAUAGAAUCUGAAUAAUUACGAAAGAUAAAGACGAAAGAUGUGAUUGAUGACUUGCAAAAAUGUUGUUUGAGUGAAAAGGAAGAAUUUUGACUAUGAAUUCAAGCAUGAACACUGUUCGUUACGCCGGAGAGUGACAAUUUGUCGUUACGGCUCAAGGCUCCUGGCUCCUGCCUCCUGUUGUACGAGGCUCUGCUGGCGGUACGCGGCUGACUCAGGCUCAGGCCGUUAGCGCUGGAAGAAGGAGGAGGAAUGGAGGAGAAAAUAUAGAGGACUGAGAGCCCGUGAA
rnacentral:lncRNA from 1 species